rnacentral:rRNA from 1 species
UACAGAGGUCUCAAGCGUUGUUCGGAUUCAUUGGGCGUAAAGGGUGCGCAGGCGGCGCGGUAAGUCGGGUGUGAAAUCUCGGAGCUUAACUCCGAAACUGCAUUCGAUACUGCCGUGCUUGAGGACUGGAGAGGAGACUGGAAUUUACGGUGUAGCGGUGAAAUGCGUAGAUAUCGUAAGGAAGACCAGUGGCGAAGGCGGGUCUCUGGCUCGACCCUGACGCUGAGGCGCGAAAGCGUGGGGAGCGAACGGG